UUGCCACGGUGUUUACCUGCU
rnacentral:siRNA from 1 species